rnacentral:siRNA from 1 species
UGGCGUCUGACUAUUUCACCAC